AGUCGAGGGGUAACAUUGUAGCUUGCUACAGAUGACGACCGGCGCACGGGUGAGUAACGCGUAUGCAACCUGCCUUUGACAGGGGGAUAGCCCGGAGAAAUCCGGAUUAAUAUCCCAUGGUAUUUACGAAUCGCAUGGUUUGUAAAUUAAAGAUUUUAUCGGUCAAAGAUGGGCAUGCGUGACAUUAGCUAGUUGGUAAGGUAACGGCUUACCAAGGCUGCGAUGUCUAGGGGUUCUGAGAGGAUGAUCCCCCACACUGGUACUGAGACACGGACCAGACUCCUACGGGAGGCAGCAGUGAGGAAUAUUGGUCAAUGGGCGCAAGCCUGAACCAGCCAUCCCGCGUGAAGGAAGACUGCCCUAUGGGUUGUAAACUUCUUUUCUGCACCAAGAAUGGUUACUACGUGUAGUGAUUUGACGGUAGUGCAGGAAUAAGCAUCGGCUAACUCCGUGCCAGCAGCCGCGGUAAUACGGAGGAUGCAAGCGUUAUCCGGAUUCAUUGGGUUUAAAGGGUACAUAGGUGGCCAAUUAAGUCAGUGGUGAAAUCCUGCCGCUUAACGGUAGAACUGCCAUUGAAACUGGUUGGCUUGAGUACAGUUGAGGUAGGCGGAAUGUGUAGUGUAGCGGUGAAAUGCUUAGAUAUUACACAGAACCCCGAUUGCGAA
rnacentral:rRNA from 1 species